AGUUAAACACUACCUGUGAGAGACUAAACAUAUCUACACUAUAGCACCUUGGAGCUUAUUACAAAACCAUUGUGACUGUCAAUAGUUCAAUAUUUCAAUUACGGAUUUAUAUUGUGAUGCAUCUUAUCUGAACAAUAUGCAAGGAAAACUGAAGUCUCUGUUUAAAACAAUUUGUGAGGAUAAAUUAAACUCUUAUCCUUCAGCCGAGGAAGCAAAGAGAGCAAAGCUUAGAAACAAGCAGAUCAGCAAAACAUUAAAACAACAUCAAAAGGAGGAGUUGAAGAAACUUAAAAUCUUAUUAUUAGGUACUGCUGAAUCUGGAAAAAGCACAAUUACAAAGCAAAUGAAGAUUAUCCAUGGGAAUGGAUUUGACAUGAGUGAAAGACUUGAAAAAGUAUCCGAUAUUAGGAAAAACAUCCAGCAAUCUAUUGUUGUGUUGCUUACAGCUAUGAAAGAGUUGGAAAUCCCCUUCGCACAAAAAGAAAAUGAGAAUAGAAGGGAGUUCAUCCUUAACCAAGCAGGAAAUCCUGAAAGCUAUAAAAUCAAAUGAAUUCCUAGAGCACACCGAACAGCUGUGGGCCGACUCUGGAGUACAAGAAUGUUACAGCAGAUCUCAUGAAUUCCAGCUAAUUGACUGUGCUAAAUACUUUCUUGACAAAAUUUCUGAAAUCAAGAACCCAGAAUAUAUUCCAUCUGACCAGGAUAUCCUCAGAUGCAGAAGCUUAACCAACUCUAUUCAACAUACUGAAUUCUGUGUUCCUGAAGGAGGACAUCAAAUCAAAUUCGACGUUUAUGAUGUUGGUGGACAACAAGGAGAACGCAAGAAGUGGAUCCAAGUGUUUGAUGGUGUUAAUGCUAUUCUUUUUGCUGUUGACUGUAGCAGUUUUGACCAAACUCUUCGUGAAGAUCCAACAAAGAACAGGCUAUUGGAGGCUUUGGAAAACUUUGAACAAGUCUGGAAUAACCGUUUCCUGAAGAAUGUAUCCGUUCUUCUUUUCCUCAACAAAAUCGAUGUAUUGGCUGAGAAAAUCGCCAAGGGCCGUGACAUCUCAGAACUUUCACAACAAUACCCAGACACUUUCCCAGACUUCAAAAGCUUUACUCCAUCAAAAUUGGAAGUUCUUAGAUUCCUUGAAUCAUAUCCAAAGUACAGCAAUGCAAACAGUAUGCACCCAGACACAGUGAAAACAGCUGUUUAUAUUCAACAUUUGUUCAUGAAAAUUGUAAAAGGAGAUCUACAACUGAAAGAACGAAUCACCAAGAGAGAUUCCGAAUGGCACAGUGGACACAGUUGUGAAACCUUUUACACAUGUGCUGUUGACACAAACAACGUUCAAAAAGUUCUUGAAUGGUUGCCGAUCCCUUAUAAUCCAGAACCAUUUGAGAAAAUUUGGACUGCUAUAAACUUUUGAGAGCCAUCAAAAGACCAACCUGUGAUAAUGGAAUUAAAAACUAUUUUAUUCUAUGACAUUUCGUCCCAACGCAUACCUCGGAAACCUUUGACUUAUGGUCCGUGUCAAGAAAUAUAUGACCAUGUGUUUUACAUUAUUUAUUUGAAUACACCAACUAUGAUCCGUCCAUUUUUCGAACAAUUAAUGUAGUGCUUUUUACACACUACAUAAGUUCUUUAAAGGAAUCUUUUGGAAUUUAUAUACAUUUUUUAUAUACAUAUUCUCUAUUUAUGUUGUUUUUAACAAUUUACAAUGAUGUUUACACUUGUUUUUGUUAUGAAUAUUAAAAAAGG
rnacentral:misc_RNA from 1 species